rnacentral:rRNA from 1 species
GACGAACCGUGCGAACGUUGUUCGGAUUCACUGGCUUAAAGGGCGCGUAGGCGGCCGCUCAAGUCGGGGGUGAAAUCUUUCAGCUUAACUGGAAAAUAGCCUCCGAUACUGGGCGGCUCGAGGAGAUAGGGUGCGCGGAACUUCCGGUGGAGCGGUGAAAUGCGUAGAUAUCGGAAGGAACGCCGGUGCGAAAGCGGCGCACUGGAUCUCCACUGACGCUGAGGCGCGAAAG